rnacentral:rRNA from 1 species
CCUACGGGAGGCAGCAGUGGGGAAUCUUGCGCAAUGGGCGAAAGCCUGACGCAGCCAUGCCGCGUGAAUGAUGAAGGUCUUAGGAUUGUAAAAUUCUUUCACCGGGGACGAUAAUGACGGUACCCGGAGAAGAAGCCCCGGCUAACUUCGUGCCAGCAGCCGCGGUAAUACGAAGGGGGCUAGCGUUGCUCGGAAUUACUGGGCGUAAAGGGAGCGUAGGCGGAUAGUUUAGUCAGAGGUGAAAGCCCAGGGCUCAACCUUGGAAUUGCCUUUGAUACUGGCUAUCUUGAGUACGGAAGAGGUAUGUGGAACUCCGAGUGUAGAGGUGAAAUUCGUAGAUAUUCGGAAGAACACCAGUGGCGAAGGCGACAUACUGGUCCGUUACUGACGCUGAGGCUCGAAAGCGUGGGGAGCAAACAGGAUUAGAUACCCUGGUAGUCCACGCUGUAAACGAUGAGUGCUAGUUGUCGGCAUGCAUGCAUGUCGGUGACGCAGCUACGACAUAAGUACACUCCGCCGUCGGGAGGUACGGUCGGCGAGAAUUAAACUAACAAUAGAAGUAGUACGGCGNGAGACGUGCCGACGACGACGACGAGGGAGGUUAGG